rnacentral:rRNA from 1 species
GACGAACGCUGGCGGCGUGCUUAACACAUGCAAGUCGAACGGACAGGCCUCUUUCUGGCUGUACUCACGUUGCCAACGGGUGAGUAACACGUGCGUAGCCUGCCCUUCUCUUUGGGAUAACUUCCUGCAACUAGGGCUAGUACCUGCUAGGUGCUCCAUCUGCCUGCAUGGUGCUGGAGAGAUUCGGCGGUUUGGGAUCGACUCGCGGCGUAUCCGCUUGUUGUUGGGGUAUUGGGUUACCAAGGCUUUGCCGGGUAGCCGGACUGAGAGCGUGAGAGGCCGUAUUGGGACCGAGAUAAGGCACAGACUGCUAAGGGAGGGAGCAGGGGGGAAUAUUGAACAAUGGGUGGAGGCCGGAUGAAGAAACGCCGUGUGCGGGAUGACGGCCUUAGGGUGGUAAACCGAAUUCGUAAAUGACGAAGCUUGGUGUGACGGUAGUGGGUAAAGAAGCAACGGCUAACUACGUA